AUCGCUUCUCGGCCUUUUGGCUAAGAUCAAGUGUAGUAUCUGUUUUUUUUUUUUUUUUCUUUUUAAAAAGAUUUAUUUAUUUAUUGAGAGAGAGAGAGGAAUAGCAGGAGAGAGAGAGAUGAGCAGGGGGUGCAGGGAGAAGCAGGCUCCCCAC
rnacentral:snRNA from 2 species